CCAAUAGCGUAUAUUAAAGUUGUUGCAGUUAAAAAGCUCGUAGUUGAAUUUCGGGAUUAGCAGGUCGGUCGUGCCACUGGUACGUACUGGUCUUGCUGAUUCCUCCCUCUUGACGAGCCGUAAUGCCAUUAAUUUGGUGUUGCGGGGAAUCAGGACUGUUACUUUGAAAAAAUUAGAGUGUUUAAAGCAAGCAUGCGCUUGAAUACAUUAGCAUGGAAUAAUGAAAUAGGACGUUCGAUCUUAUUUUGUUGGUUUCUAGGAUUGACGUAAUGAUUAAUAGGGAUAGUUGGGGGCAUUAGUAUUCAAUUGUCAGAGGUGAAAUUCUUGGAUUUAUUGAAGACUAACUACUGCGAAAGCAUUUGCCAAGGAUGUUUUCAUUAAUCAAGAACGAAAGUUAGGGGAUCGAAGACGAUCAGAUACCGUCGUAGUCUUAACCAUAAACUAUGCCGACUAGGGAUCGGAUGAUGUUAAUUUUUUAAUGACUCAUUCGGCGCCUUACG
rnacentral:rRNA from 1 species